GGGGGAUUAGCUCAGCUGGCUAGAGCACUUGAUUUGCAUUCAAGAGGUCAUCGGUUCGACUCCGAUAUCCUCCA
rnacentral:tRNA from 2 species